rnacentral:rRNA from 1 species
GGAUCCAGACUUUGAUUAUGGCUCAGGAUGAACGCUAGCUACAGGCUUAACACAUGCAAGUCGAGGGGAAACGACAUCGAAAGCUCGCUUUUGAUAGGCAUCGACCGGCGCACGGGUGAGUAACGCGUAUCCAACCUGCCCACCACUUGGGGAUAACCUUGCGAAAGUAAGACUAAUACCCAAUGACGUCUCUAGAAGACAUCUGAAAGAGAUUAAAGAUUUAUCGGUGAUGGAUGGGGAUGCGUCUGAUUAGCUUGUUGGCGGGGUAACGGCCCACCAAGGCGACGAUCAGUAGGGGUUCUGAGAGGAAGGUCCCCCACAUUGGAACUGAGACACGGUCCAAACUCCUACGGGAGGCAGCAGUGAGGAAUAUUGGUCAAUGGGCGAGAGCCUGAACCAGCCAAGUAGCGUGCAGGAUGACGGCCCUAUGGGUUGUAAACUGCUUUUAUAAGGGAAUAAAGUGAGUCUCGUGAGACUUUUUGCAUGUACCCUAUGAAUAAGGACCGGCUAAUUCCGUGCCAGCAGCCGCGGUAAUACGGAAGGUCCGGGCGUUAUCCGGAUUUAUUGGGUUUAAAGGGAGCGUAGGCCGGAGAUUAAGCGUGUUGUGAAAUGUAGAUGCUCAACAUCUGAACUGCAGCGCGAACUGGUUUCCUUGAGUACGCACAAAGUGGGCGGAAUUCGUGGUGUAGCGGUGAAAUGCUUAGAUAUCACGAAGAACUCCGAUUGCGAAGGCAGCUCACUGGAGCGCAACUGACGCUGAAGCUCGAAAGUGCGUGUAUCGAACAGGAUUAGAUACCCUGGUAGUCCGCACGGUAAACGAUGGAUGCCCGCUGUUGGUCUGAAUAGGUCAGCGGCCAAGCGAAAGCAUUAAGCAUCCCACCUGGGGAGUACGCCGGCAACGGUGCAACUCAAAUGAAUUGACGG